rnacentral:tRNA from 1 species
GCCGAAGUGGCGGAAUUGGCAGACGCGCACGACUCAAACUCGUGUGGGGAAACCCGUGUGGGUUCGACUCCCACCUUCGGCA